rnacentral:tRNA from 1 species
GCGCCAGUAGUCCAGUGGUAAGACACAACCCUCCCAAGGUUGUUACCUGGGUUCAAAUCCCAGCUGGCGCA